rnacentral:rRNA from 1 species
GGCUAACGCUGGCGGCGUGUCUUAGCCAUGCAAGUCGAGCGGACUUAUGGGGUAACUUAUAAGUCAGCGGCGGACGGCGGAGUAACACGUAGCUAACCUACCCUCUGGACGGGGAUAACCUACCGAAAGGUGGGCUAAUACCCGAUGUAGUCAUCCUGUAUAGGGGUGAUGAAAGGUGGGCUUCUGUUUACAAGCUCAUGCUGGAGGAGGGGGCUGCGGCCUAUCAGGUAGUUGGUAGGGUAAUAGCCUACCAAGCCGAUGACGGGUAGCCGGCCUGAGAGGGUGGUCGGCCACAUUGGGACUGAGACACGGCCCAAACUCCUACGGGAGGCAGCAGCCGGGAAUAUUCCGCAAUGGGGGAAACCCUGACGGAGCGACGCCGCGUGAGGGAAGAAGCCCUUCGGGGUGUAAACCUCUUUUCUCGGGGAAGAGUAGAGACGGUACCCGAGGAAUAAGCCCCGGCUAACUACGUG